rnacentral:rRNA from 1 species
UACGGAGGGGACUAGCGUUGUUCGGAAUUACUGGGCGUAAAGCGCACGUAGGCGGAUUUGUAAGUCAGGGGUGAAAUCCCGGGGCUCAACCUCGGAACUGCCUUUGAUACUGCAAAUCUCGAGUCCGGAAGAGGUGAGUGGAAUUCCUAGUGUAGAGGUGAAAUUCGUAGAUAUUAGGAAGAACACCAGUGGCGAAGGCGGCUCACUGGACCGGUACUGACGCUGAUGCGCGAAAGCGUGGGGAGCAAACGGG